rnacentral:rRNA from 1 species
UACAGAGGUGCCAAGCGUUGUUCGGAUUUACUGGGCGUAAAGGGUGCGUAGGUGGCCUGACAAGUCGGAUGUGAAAUCCCGGAGCUUAACUCCGGAAUGGCAUCCGAAACUGUCUGGCUCGAGGUCUGGAGAGGUGACUGGAAUGCUCGGUGUAGCAGUGAAAUGCGUAGAUAUCGAGUAGAACACCAGAGGCGAAAGCGGGUCACUGGACAGAUUCUGACACUGAGGCACGAAAGCCAGGGGAGCAAAC